rnacentral:rRNA from 1 species
AUCCGGUGGUUCUGAAUGGAAGGGCCAUCGCUCAACGGAUAAAAGGUACUCCGGGGAUAACAGGCUGAUACCGCCCAAGAGUUCAUAUCGACGGCGGUGUUUGGCACCUCGAUGUCGGCUCAUCACAUCCUGGGGCUGAAGUAGGUCCCAAGGGUAUGGCUGUUCGCCAUUUAAAGUGGUACGCGAGCUGGGUUUAGAACGUCGUGAGACAGUUCGGUCCCUAUCUGCCGUGGGCGCUGGAGAACUGAGGGGGGCUGCUCCUAGUACGAGAGGACCGGAGUGGACGCAUCACUGGUGUUCGGGUUGUCAUGCCAAUGGCACUGCCCGGUAGCUAAAUGCGGAAGAGAUAAGUGCUGAAAGCAUCUAAGCACGAAACUUGCCCCGAGA